rnacentral:tRNA from 1 species
GGUGUAGCUCAGUUGGCAGAGCGCUUGGUUUGGGACCAAGGGGCCGCUGGUUCAAAUCCAGUCAC